rnacentral:lncRNA from 1 species
AGAGAAAAAAAAAACGACGAUAAAAGAAAAGGAAAUAGCGAUGGAAGAAGCGACGAUAAAGGGUGGGAUUCAUUUUGCCGAUAAAAGAAGGUAACACUUGAAGAAAGUGGUGUUGAGAAUCCGGUACUCACCCCGGUACUGGAUCUUGUGAAUCCGCAACCCGCUCCGAUACCGACUGCUGUGGAUUCGGUAUCGAUUGUUGGGAUUCCGCAAUGAAAACGUCAAAUCAGAUUUUUACCAUAAAUCCGUCUCCUCAGCAAAAGCUGAUACAAUCAUAAAAGAGAAAAAUAUGUAGGUAAAAUAAGAUUCAUUAAAUAAGAGAAGAUUACACCUGACUCCUCUUCUGCACAGAGUAGCUACAAUCUGAGCCCUCUUUCUUAAUCUCUUCUAUCCUUCUCUCGUCUUCUAUAAACCCACAAAGAAGACCUCUCCACGUGCACCCGUGCACAAGGUGCACUCAACUCAUUAGAUAUUCUCUCUCUGGUACAGUAGCUCAAAAGCUCCAGCGUACUCCACAUCUCCAAAAGAGGCUCUAAUGCAUUAUAUAAUACUCAAACAAGAAUGUACCCGAUCCUCGUAUAUUUAGGAUUUCAACUUUAAUUAAUAUCGAAAUCUAUCUUAAUUAAUCUCUAAUAUAUUUAAAUAUUAAUCUCAAUUUAGCUAGAUUUAUCCUCUAAUUAAUAUUUAAAUCUUAAUUUACCUCCAACAGUUUUAAAUAUUAAUUCUUAUCUAAAUAAAAUUCAACUACAAAUCUAACCAAAUCCUAACAAGUGGAAGAGGAAUAAUUUAGCGAAAUGCAGAGGUGUUAUUCUGUUCAGUUAAAGCAAAAAAAGAAAAAAAAUCUGAUUUGAUUCAAGCCAAGAAAGAACAAAAUACACGAAGAACUUGAAAAGGGAUGGAAUUUCUUCAUCCCUAUAUUUUUGGAAGUU